rnacentral:siRNA from 1 species
UCUACGUUUCAGUGGGCAGAGUU